AGAGAGAAGAAAAAGAACGUGACCAGAGGUCACUCCUCUUUGGGACGCUAGAAGAAGGAAAGCAGGGGAAGGAGGCCAAUUUCACCACGGAAGUAACGAAAUUGGAAGUGAUAAGAUCUUGAUUCUACCAUCCUUGUUCGAUUCCCAGGGAUUUGGUAUUAUGAGAUGAAUGUUCGGAUGGCAACAUGUCAAACGAAUGAUAAAGCAACAACACUCCUACGGGCGAAGGUGAGUACUCGAAUGUGUUUGGAGUCGUGUUGAUUUAAAUAGUCUUAUUGUUGACUUGAAGUUCUUUUUAUAGUUAAGGUGGUUUAAUACAAAUUAUUGAAUAUGGUUCAACUUAACAAUAGCCUAUUGUUUUGGCGAUGUUUUAGGGGUUUAAACCCAUCAAAGAAGAGUGUAAAUUGUUAAUGGGUCGAGAUGCCCAAGUGCUGAAAAUUCAGCUUAUUUCCAGAUUUUUGCUAGUCUUUAAAAAUUCAUAGAAAAUCAACCGAAUGUCCGUUCGGGGCGUAUUUUAUAUCCACGGGAAGGUCUCGGAGUCACCGUUACUAAGAAUUUUAGUUUGAAGUGAAAUAGUCAAUGUAAAGAUGGGAAAAUACUGAAUUACUACAGCUGCAUAAAGCUGAGUGAAAAACAUAAAUUUUAUAGUAUUGCAUAAUCUUAAGGAAUUUAUAAGGAACCAAUCGGAUGUGAUUAUUUUGUUAUUUUUAACCUCAAUGUAGUUAUAUAUAUUUACAUGAGUUGAAGUGAUUGAUUCCUUGAAUAUGGGAUACGUAUGCUAAAUUAAAAAGUCAUGGUGUUGUAACCUGUAUGUGCAAAAACAUGUGUUCAUUUAGUAGUGCUUAUGAAUGAAUGAAACUUGUGUCACUAAAACUAUAUAACCUAUUUGAGUAUGUAAUGAAUACAUGUAUGAAUUAUUAAUGAUUGUUGAAAAUCGUAUAUGUUAUCUAAUGAAUUACAACAUAGUUAUGUGGCGGUUUACCAUUUUAUUUAUAUUGGCCGAAGCGGUUUGAUAAUGGGUUACUUUGAAGUGUCCUUGAUUCUAUAUUAGCAGGGAUAUACAUGAAAUAUGGAUAAAAGGGGCACCCAGAUUAGAAUGGAGAAAGUUACAAAAUGCGUGACUCAGGAUGAUGAAGUGGUGGCUCGACAUUGUUUCGUUGGGUGUUAUGAGCAUUGAGUUACUCCUUUAUGUUUGAUACAAAAUCAAAUUAAGAUUCCUCACUUAGCAAAAGCUAAUUUUUGGUGUUUUCAAUGUAGGUGAUAAGUCAUGAGAAUCAACGGGGUGUCUUGAACCGGAAUCAUGAAAUAAGAAAAGAGCUCACAAGUCGUUCACCAAUAAUCCGGUUCAAUCAGUGUAUUAGUUAUUAUUAUGCUUACCGUAGUUUCCCGGACGAUACUAAUGAUAUGGUAAUGUUAUAUGACAGAUUGGGGUGGUAGAAAGGCGAAAGUAAUCAAGUCUUGGAAGCGGGUCAAUGAUAGGAGGAUUUAGUGAUAUUUUGUUCACUAAGUAUAUGGGUUUCUUUAUUGGGCCAAUUAGAUUUAAGUAUUUGUAUUUUGGAGUUUAAGUCCAACAUCUAUUUUAGCGAAAUGCUAGUAUGUCAAUGUGGUAAUGGAUUAUGCUUGUUUUAUAAAAACUUUGGUUGUUAAGCAGGUUUUGUUUUCGUAAAGACUUGUCGUUUUGCGAAUGGGUCAUGGCAAAAUUUUUCUAAAAUACUUGUUUGCAAAUGUUUUAUUAAUCCAGUUAUGUGGAUUCAUAUAUUGUGGGAAUAUUAUCUUUUAUUACUUAAUGUCAGAAAAAAAAUAUGGGCCUAUUUUCCGCAAAGUAUUUUAAUAUUAUUUUUAACAAGUUGGGUGUAACAAGUUUGGUAUCAGAGCCCUGGUUUGAGAGAAAUCAAGUAUGAGGAGGUAAAUACUUGAACUCAAACCCGUGUGCUCUUGUGAAAGGAACCCGUACUAUCCAAGACUUGAUCAAGAUCUAAAGGUAGAAGCGAAUGUAAGUAAGUAUCUAAGUAUGCAUACAAAGAAAACUAACAGUGUGUUAUGUGUAAGGUAAGCAUGAUUGUUUGAAGAGGAUGAUCCGCGAAUGUGGUCUAGGACCGACACCAAGGCAUGUAAUAAGACAAAUUUGAACCCAGAUUCAAAACAUAGAAGGGAUGAAGGAUACGAAUGAUAUGUUUGAGUCAAACCAAUUUGAAUAUAACCGCCAACCUGCAAACCGUGUAUCAACUCGGUCAACACUUCCUUCCUCUUUCUUCGUGAUUUCCGGCAAUCAAUCAUUUGAUUGAUUGCCAUUUCAUCCUAAAUCAUCUCUAUUUUCCCGAAUCCCAUCCGGUUUCCAAACGUGACUCGACUUCUCCGCACCCUAUAUAUACCCGACCAUCCGCACACUCACACACCCACCUCCUUCUCUCUGCAUUCGCCGGAAACCACCUCUCUCCCUUCAACACCCGCCGGAAGCCGCUGCUGAUUAUCGGAGAGACGCCGGAGAAGACCGCUGACCUGCCGGAGAAGCCGCCGUCAGUCCGGGUAAUCUCUUGCGCUUGUUGCAAAUCUCUUGGUCAAACUCUUGCUCUUAAUCUCUCUACCAAGAAAACGCAACGCAAUCAAUGUUGAAUGAUCAAGAAAACAAGAAUCAAGCUAGGAUGGACAUUAGAAACCCAUUUUAGCAAUAAACUAUUGUUUGAAUUUAUGUUUGAAUAUUCGAAACUUUGUAUUGUCCUUUAGAAUUUAAUAAAAUGAUUUAAUU